UGGCUCAGUGGUUAAAGUACUUGGCUAUUAACCAAAAGUUUGGUGGUUCAAACCCACC
rnacentral:tRNA from 1 species